CGCCGAACUUCAAACUCCCUCAAUUCGAAAGCUACGACAGGACUUCGGACCUGGUUGACCACCUGGAGGCCUUCUUUUGCAGGUCUCGAUGGCGACCGUGACUCCCUCGACUCCAGCUUCUCCGACGUAGGUGGAUUUUUGCACCAACAAUGUAUAUCAAUUUCAUGCACAUGAAACCUGUGGCUCUGAUACCAGUGUUGAAAUUUCUAUGUCGGGA
rnacentral:lncRNA from 1 species